CCUACGUGAGGCAGCAGUGAGGAAUAUUGGUCAAUGGGCGCGAGCCUGAACCAGCCAAGUAGCGUGAAGGAUGACUGCCCUACGGGUUGUAAACUUCUUUUAUAAAGGAAUAAAGUGAGGCACGUGUGCCUUUUUGUAUUUACUUUAUGAAUAAGGAUCGGCUAACUCCGUGCCAGCAGCCGCGGUAAUACGGAGGAUCCGAGCGUUAUCCGGAUUUAUUGGGUUUAAAGGGAGCGUAGGUGGGUUGUUAAGUCAGUGGUGAAAGGUUGCGGCUCAACCGUAAAAUUGCAAUUGAUACUGGCAGUCUUGAGGACAGUUGAGGUAGGCGGAAUUCGUGGUGUAGCGGUGAAAUGCUUAGAUAUCACGAAGAACUCCGAUUGCGAAGGCAGCUUACUAAACUGCAACUGACAUUGAUGCUCGAAAGCGUGGGGAGCAAACAGGAUUAGAUACCCGAGUAGUC
rnacentral:rRNA from 1 species